ensembl:lncRNA
GCCAUUGGUUCUUGAAAAAUAUAACUUAUAAAUGCCUCAUACAAUUUAUACAUGUUUCAUGAGCUGUCGUACCCCAGGUGUCAAUAUUUCCCUUGUCAAUAUUGGCACCCCAUUUGGAAUUCCCUCCUUUGUAGGCGUAUUGUCUUCUUAAAUGAUUCAGAGAUUAGAUUAGCGCAUAGAUGAACGGUCUGUAGUAAACUAAUGUUGUGUUUCAUACCACGACAUAUACGACAUUGUAAUUACAGGGUAGCACAACUCCCGGGUGCGCUACACUCUAUGAGCUCUGGCCAUCACGGAUUUGUUUGGGAGCCAAAUAAGAACCCGGGCUGUGACAAACAAUGGUAGCGAUGAAAGGCGAGGGGAGGGUUGGCUAAAUGCAAAUAUCCACUUUGUGCUGUUGAGAGAACCUCCUCCAACACUGACAACUGGCAAUUUCCAUCCCAAGAAUCCUACACUGUAGGCUGAGAAUAAAUGCAUCUACAAUUCUGCCACGUCCCUUCUUUACAGCGAAGUUACAACUUCUUGUAACUACGAUUUAAUUCACAACUUUGAAACGUGUUCGGUUCAUUCCAUCGAGCAAGAGUUGGACAACGGUCAGUGAAGAUGGACAUUUGAUGACCUCGGGUGUGUCGCGGGAGGGACAGGAAGCGUCUGUGCACCUGUGAGAACUAAACCAAAAAGUAAAACAAUAAUAGUGUUUGAGACAAGAGGCAGAAACACAGCGCAGCUUCGUUUAGAGACGCUAAGCCUUUCUAAACGUGAUUAUCCUUAGCCCGUCGAUACGCUGGCUUUCAUUCAAGACAUGCAUGAGAAAGGCUUUGCGACACAAUGGAUCAGUGGGAGCUUGUCUGCUAUUAUAGAGGCACUGGGAAAGAGAGGAGGACUCUAGACGCACUGGGAAAGAGAGGAGGAAUCUUUCGUGAAUAUUGAUAUUGUCAUGAGAGAGAGAGAGACAGAGAGUGAAUGACUGACAUGGAUAGAACACAUUACAGAUCAGUGGAUGCUGCGGUCAGGAAGUCGAGUAAUUCAUCUAUUUAAAAACAUUUUGUGGAAAAUGCCUCAUACCUGACAAUUAUAAAUAAUAAAUUAAUGUUGUAAAUUAGUCCACAAGCUUGUCAAGUUACAAUUAAUUUACAGUGCAUUUCACAACAUACUUUACAGAGAAAGUAAGAAUUUUCUCCAAACAAUUUGUUAGUAAUCUGCAAACAAAAAUUGGCUUUGGGGUUGAAUGCUACUGUUGAAAUGAACUCUAUCCCUGCAGGAAGACAUCAAAGCAGACUCGACAUGAGGGCUUUCUUGACAACAAUUGCCCCAUUCUACUACCCUACUACCCUACCCCUGGCCUGGCCUGGCCUGGCCACCCCCACACUCCCCAUCCCCUGUUUCCACUUCAUUAAGCCCCAAGCUCCUGAGUCCAAUCUGGAGGGAAAAUGCUUCACUAAUUCUAAUGUCAGUCCCAAAUGGCUCCCUGUUUAGUGCACUAUGUUUAACCACUACCCAUAGGAAAACCAUAUAUGGAAUACGGUGCCAUUUGGAAACACGUUAAGACUCCUUUUCCCAACAAAUGAGGAAGACAUUUUGUCUCUCUGCUUUCAUUUGAGUCAGACCCUGACAAGCUGUCAACAGUUGUACUUUCCCCUCCUCUCAUUUACUGACCAGCAUAUUGUUGGGGAAACGGAGUGAGCGAAACAGGACACAGAGAGUUGAAUUGUGAAGCGAUGGAUGGGGAAGAAGACUCCUGCUGGGUGAUUCCCAGUGUCCCAAAUGGCACCCUAUUCUCUGUUGGGCCCUAUGGGUUCUAGUCUAAAUUAGUGCACUAUAUAGGGAAUAGGGUGCCAUUUGGGAUGUAGACCGAGAGCAUAUUCCCC